GCCGACGCGUCCGUCCCGCACGCGCCCAAUCAGGGACGCGCGGUGGGAGGCCCGUCGUGGAGUGCCGGGCCGGGCUGUUGAGGUUUCCGGUGGAGCAGGCUACACAGAAGCAUGGUGUUGGCGUCUGCCUCUGGUGAGGGCCUCAUGCUGCUUCCACUUAUGGUGGACGGGAAAGGGGAACCAGUGUAUGCAGAGAUCACAUGAGAUGAGGUCCGGCUUUGUCACCGGGACUGGAGUGCAGUGGCACA